rnacentral:tRNA from 1 species
GGAGAAAUGGCCGAGUGGCUGAAGGCACACCCCUGCUAAGGGUGCAGAUCCAUAUACGGGUCUCGAGGGUUCGAAUCCCUCUUUCUCCGCCA